AAAUUGAAGAGUUUGAUCAUGGCUCAGAUUGAACGCUGGCGGCAGGUCUAACACAUGCAAGUCGAACGGUAACAGGAAGCAGCUUGCUGCUUUGCUGACGAGUGGCGGACGGGUGAGUAAUGUCUGGGAAACUGCC
rnacentral:rRNA from 1 species